AUUGAACGCUGGCGGCAGGCCUAACACAUGCAAGUCGAGCGGAUGCAGGGAGCUUGCUCCUGGAUUCAGCGGCGGACGGGUGAGUAAUGCCUAGGAAUCUGCCUGGUAGUGGGGGAUAACGUCCGGAAACGGGCGCUAAUACCGCAUACGUCCUGAGGGAGAAAGUGGGGGAUCUUCGGACCUCACGCUAUCAGAUGAGCCUAGGUCGGAUUAGCUAGUUGGUGGGGUAAAGGCCUACCAAGGCGACGAUCCGUAACUGGUCUGAGAGGAUGAUCAGUCACACUGGAACUGAGACACGGUCCAGACUCCUACGGGAGGCAGCAGUGGGGAAUAUUGGACAAUGGGCGAAAGCCUGAUCCAGCCAUGCCGCGUGUGUGAAGAAGGUCUUCGGAUUGUAAAGCACUUUAAGUUGGGAGGAAGAGCAGUAAGUUAAUACCUUGCUGUUUUGACGUUACCAACAGAAUAAGCACCGGCUAACUUCGUG
rnacentral:rRNA from 1 species